rnacentral:rRNA from 1 species
AUGCAAGUCGAACGAAGGCUUCGGCCUUAGUGGCGCACGGGUGCGUAACGCGUGGGAAUCUGCCCUUGGGUUCGGAAUAACAGUUAGAAAUUUCUGCUAAUACCGGAUGAUGACGAAAGUCCAAAGAUUUAUCGCCCAAGGAUGAGCCCGCGUAGGAUUAGGUAGUUGGUGAGGUAAAGGCUCACCAAGCCGAUGAUCCUUAGCUGGUCUGAGAGGAUGAUCAGCCACACUGGGACUGAGACACGGCCCAGACUCCUACGGGAGGCAGCAGUGGGGAAUAUUGGACAAUGGGCGAAAGCCUGAUCCAGCAAUGCCGCGUGAGUGAUGAAGGCCUUUGGGUUGUAAAGCUUUUUUACCCGGGAUGAUAAUGACAGUACCGGGAGAAUAAGCCCCGGCUAACUCCGUGCCAGCAGCCGCGGUAAU